GACGAACGCUGGCGGCGUGCCUAACACAUGCAAGUCGAACGAAGUGGCGAACGGGUGAGUAACGCGUAAUCAACCUGCUCUUCAGCGGGGGACAACGGUAGGAAACGAGUGCUAAUACCGCAUAAUGAAGGAGGGGCGUGCGUCCGAUAGGGUAGUUGGAGGGGGACGGGCCCCCCAAGGCGAUGAUCGGUAACCGGUCUGAGAGGAUUAACGGCAAAAGUGGGACUGAGACACGGCCCAGACUCCUAAGGGAGGCAGCAGUGGGGAAUCUUCCGCAAUGGACGGAAGUCUGACGGAGCAACGCCGCGUGGAUGAUGACGGCCUUCGGGUUGUAAAGCUCUGUUAAUCGGGACGCGGUACCGGAAUAGAAAGCCACGGCUAACUACGUGCCAGCAGCCGCGGUAAUUC
rnacentral:rRNA from 1 species